GAUGAACGCUGGCGGCGUGCCUAAUACAUGCAAGUCGAGCGAACAGACGAGGAGCUUGCUCCUCUGACGUUAGCGGCGGACGGGUGAGUAACACGUGGAUAACCUACCUAUAAGACUGGGAUAACUUCGGGAAACCGGAGCUAAUACCGGAUAAUAUAUUGAACCGCAUGGUUCAAUAGUGAAAGACGGUUUUGCUGUCACUUAUAGAUGGAUCCGCGCCGCAUUAGCUAGUUGGUAAGGUAACGGCUUACCAAGGCAACGAUGCGUAGCCGACCUGAGAGGGUGAUCGGCCACACUGGAACUGAGACACGGUCCAGACUCCUACGGGAGGCAGCAGUAGGGAAUCUUCCGCAAUGGGCGAAAGCCUGACGGAGCGACGCCGCGUGAGUGAUGAAGGUCUUCGGAUCGUAAAACUCUGUUAUUAGGGAAGAACAAAUGUGUAAGUAACUAUGCACGUCGUGACGGUACCUAAUCAGAAAGCCACGGCUAACUACGUG
rnacentral:rRNA from 1 species